UACGAAGGGGGCUAGCGUUGUUCGGAAUUACUGGGCGUAAAGGGCGCGUAGGCUGUGCUGUAAGUCAGGCGUGAAAGCCCCGGGCUCAACCUGGGAAUUGCGCUUGAUACUGCGGCGCUGGAAGGUGGGAGAGGAUGGCGGAAUUCCCAGUGUAGAGGUGAAAUUCGUAGAUAUUGGGAAGAACACCGGUGGCGAAGGCGGCAAUCUGGCCCAUUUUUGACGCUGAGGCGCGAAAGCGUGGGGAGCAAACAGG
rnacentral:rRNA from 1 species